rnacentral:misc_RNA from 1 species
UCUGUUUCCAGUAUAUUUUGAUUCUCUUUGUAUAUAUACAAAACAAUUUGGUGAAAAAACAAACGAUAACAAAAAUGUUGAAGCUCGAAGUACCUACGCUAAAAGAAGUUCUAAAGAAUAGUGGUGGAGAUGAAAAACUUUUGGAAGAGUUGUUGUCGAAAUUUCGACUAUGGCUGAAACAGCAAAGUCAUCUUCCUCAAGAUAUCUCUGAUCAACGAUUAAAAUUUUUUAUUUAUGCUGUAAAGUUUAAUUUCGAAAAAGCUAAAAAAAAUUUGGAUACGCUUUACACUCUUCGCAAUCUGGUUCCGGAACUUUUCGAAAAUUUCGAUCCGUUUAGCGAUGAUAUAAAUCUUCUUCACACAUACUUUCAGAAUAUAGGUUUGCCGAAAUUAACACCAGAAGGAUACAGAUUGUAUAUCUGUCGUCUAAUACAAGAUGACUCUCCUAUGUAUAAUGCUUGGACAAUUCUAAAGUACGUAUGUAAUAUCUACAAAGCAGAACAAAUAUACUAUUUCACAAAAAUUUAAUAUUUUGUUUGUCUAUACAUAAUAUACUAAUAAGAUAUAGAAUGUGCGCGAUUUAGAAUUGAGAAUAUUACAUCGCUAAAAAUGCGUAUGUAUUUUGAUAAUGAAAAAGGCCUGAUCUCAUGUCGAAACGGUUAUUCUUUGUGUUUAUUUGGUAAAUAUAUAAGUAUUUGCACGACCAUCUAGCAUUAACUCAUUAGCCCCUUUUUACAAGAUUUGA